rnacentral:rRNA from 2 species
UCUUGAAACACGGACCAAGAAGUCUAACAUGUGCGCGAGUCAUUGGGCGUCAAACCCAAAGGCGGAAUGAAAGUGCAGGUAGGUAACAAUUCCUACCGAGGGAGGAUGGGCGCGUCUGCUCCUAGGGCGGCGCCCCGCACUCCCGGGGCGUCUCCGACUCUACAAGAGUGGAGGCGCACCUAGAGCGCACACGUUAGGACCCGAAAGAUGGUGAACUAUGCCCGGUCAGGACGAAGCCAGGGGAAACCCUGGUGGAGGUCCGUAGCGAUUCUGACGUGCAAAUCGAUCGUCAGAGCUGGGUAUAGGGGCGAAAGACUAAUCGAACCAUCUAGUAGCUGGUUCCCUCCGAAGUUUCCCUCAGGAUAGCUGGAGCCCGUGCGAGACGAGUCUCACCCGGUAAAGCGAAUGACUAGAAGCAUUGGGGCCGAAACGGCCUCAACCUAUUCUCAAACUUUAAAUGGGUGAGAACCCCGGCUUGCUUGAAAGUGAAGCCGGGGGCCCGGAUCAGGGUGCCCAGUGGGCCAAUUUUGGUAAGCAGAACUGGCGC